UCGUUAAUACCGCAUAACAUAAUUGAACCGCAUGAUUUGAUUAUCAAAGAUUUAUCGCUGAAAGAUGAGCUCGCGUCUGAUUAGCUAGUUGGUAAGGUAACGGCUUACCAAGGCGACGAUCAGUAGCCGGACUGAGAGGUUGAUCGGCCACAUUGGGACUGAGACACGGCCCAGACUCCUACGGGAGGCAGCAGUGGGGAAUAUUGCACAAUGGAGGAAACUCUGAUGCAGCGAUGCCGCGUGAGGGAAGAAGGUUUUAGGAUUGUAAACCUCUGUCUUCAGGGACGAAAAAAGACGGUACCUGAGGAGGAAGCUCCGGCUAACUACGUGCCAGCAGCCGCGGUAAUACGUAGGGAGCGAGCGUUGUCCGGAAUUACUGGGUGUAAAGGGAGCGUAGGCGGGAUCGCAAGUCAGAUGUGAAAACUAUGGGCUUAACCCAUAAACUGCAUUUGAAACUGUGGUUCUUGAGUGAAGUAGAGGUAAGCGGAAUUCCUAGUGUAGCGGUGAAAUGCGUAGAUAUUAGGAGGAACAUCAGUGGCGAAGGCGGCUUACUGGGCUUUAACUGACGCUGAGGCUCGAAAGCGUGGGGAGCAAACAGGAUUAGAUACCCUGGUAGUCCACGCCGUAAACGAUGAUUACUAGGUGUGGGGGGACUGACCCCUUCCGUGCCGCAGCAAACGCAAUAAGUAAUCCACCUGGGGAGUACGACCGCAAGGUUGAAACUCAAAGGAAUUGACGGGGGCCCGCACAAGCAGUGGAGUAUGUGGAUUAAUUCGAAGCAACGCGAAGAACCUUACCAGGUCUUGACAUCGUAUGCAUAGCUCAGAGAUGAGUGAAAUCUCUUCGGAGACAUAUAGACAGGUGGUGCAUGGUUGUCGUCAGCUCGUGUCGUGAGAUGUUGGGUUAAGUCCCGCAACGAGCGCAACCCUUACUGUUAGUUGCUACGCAAGAGCACUCUAGCAGGACUGCCGUUGACAAAACGGAGGAAGGUGGGGAUGACGUCAAAUCAUCAUGCCCCUUAUGACCUGGGCCUCACACGUACUACAAUGGCUGUCAACAGAGGGAAGCAAAGCCGCGAGGUGGAGCGAACCCCUAAAAGCAGUCUUAGUUCGGAUUGUAGGCUGCAACCCGCCUACAUGAAGUCGGAAUUGCUAGUAAUCGCAGAUCAGCAUGCUGCGGUGAAUACGUUCCCGGGCCUUGUACACACCGCCCGUCACGCCAUGGGAGUCGGUAACACCCGAAGCCUGUAGUCUAACCGCAAGGAGGACGCAGUCGAAGGUGGGAUUGAUGACUGGGGUGAAGUCGUAACAAGGUA
rnacentral:rRNA from 1 species